rnacentral:ribozyme from 1 species
GUUCGUCUGGGCGAACAGAAACAGCCAUUAGGCCCAGAGCGGUGUAGGGGCCGGUGUCCCUGCACAUUGGA